AAUGGUGAGUGCUAGGUGUCGGGAGUCAAAUCUCGGUGCCGACGUUAACACAUUAAGCACUCCGCCUGGGGAGUACGCACGCAAGUGUGAAACUCAAAGGAAUUGACGGGGACCCGCACAAGCAGCGGAGCAUGUGGUUUAAUUCGAUGCAACGCGAAAAACCUUACCAGGACUUGACAUAUGGAUGCCCGGUAUAGAGAUAUACCCUUUCUUCGGAACAUUCAUACAGGUGGUGCAUGGCUGUCGUCAG
rnacentral:rRNA from 1 species